rnacentral:sRNA from 1 species
AUACCAUUUGUACCAUAGACAGCAGGGGCUCCAAAAGCUUAAUAUUCCUGCCGAGGUAAUUUCGAUAUAUAUAGUCGAUGACUAUGACUUGGAAUUUACUGCCCUCACGUCUGCAAGAUUUGAGGGUUUUCUUUUUG